CGCGUAGACGGCUUUUUAAGUCUGGAGUGGAAGUCCUGCUUUCAAGGUGGGAAUUGCUUUGGAGACUGGAAGGCUUGAGUGCGGAAGAGGUAAGUGGAAUUCCCAGUGUAGCGGUGAAAUGCGUAGAGAUUGGGAGGAACACCAGUGGCGAAGGCGACUUACUGGGCCGUAACUGACGUUGAUGCGCGAAAGCGUGGGGAGCGAACA
rnacentral:rRNA from 1 species